rnacentral:piRNA from 1 species
UCGCACAUUGAUUUUCACUGG